UACGAAGGUUGCGAGCGUUGUUCGGAAUCACUGGGCUUAAAGCGCACGUAGGCGGCCCUUCAAGUACCUUGUGAAAUCCCACGGCUCAACCGUGGAAUGGCUUGGUAUACUGUCGGGCUUGAGGCAGGUAGGGGCGCGUGGAACUCUUGGUGGAGCGGUGGAAUGCGUAGAUAUCAAGAGGAACGCCGGUGGCGAAAGCGACGCGCUGGGCCUGUCCUGACGCUGAGGUGCGAAAGCUAGGGGAGCAAACAGG
rnacentral:rRNA from 1 species